GAUGAACGCUAGCGGCAGGCUUAAUACAUGCAAGUCGAGGGGGAUCAGUUGGGUAGCAAUACCUGGCUGUGAGACCGGCAAACGGGUGAGGAACACGUACGCAACUUUCCCAAAACUAGGUGAAUAGCCCUCCGAAAGGAGGAUUAAUACACCGUAACAUAACGAAAUGGCAUCAUUUUGUUAUUAUAGCAGCAAUGCGGUUUUGGAUAGGCGUGCGCCUGAUUAGGUAGUUGGCGGGGUAACGGCCCACCAAGCCUACGAUCAGUAACUGGUGUGAGAGCACGACCAGUCACACGGGCACUGAGACACGGGCCCGACUCCUACGGGAGGCAGCAGUAAGGAAUAUUGGUCAAUGGACGAAAGUCUGAACCAGCCAUGCCGCGUGAAGGAUGAAGGUCCUCUGGAUUGUAAACUUCUUUUAUCUGGGACGAAAAAAGGGAAUUCUUUCUCACUUGACGGUACCAGAAGAAUAAGCACCGGCUAACUCCGUGCCAGCAGCCGCGGU
rnacentral:rRNA from 1 species